CGAAAAACGGAAUAGACUCCAUCUCCCCAAAAAAAGAAACCGAGUCGCCCCCUCUUCUCCUUCACUCUCUCUCAUCUCUCUCAUCUACAUGAACUCACACACUGAUUUCUACUCUCACACAGAUUUAUGCUGAAUUUUCACUCUCGAUUCAUACACAGAUCUCACACGAAGGAGCAACUGAAAAUACUCCAAAUACCCCCAAAAAUAUCAAAUUUAGAUCUGUAGUUCUACCGUUUGAAAAAUAGAGGAAAAAGUAAAAGAAAAAGGGAUUUCAAAGAGCUGUUGCGUUUUCUUUUGAUUUUCUUGAUAAUUUCUGGGAUUCUAAGAGUGGUUAUCUCUCAAAAACAUUGUUGAUUGCUGUUGGAAUCUACUAUUGAUUGUUAAAUCUGUAGCUGAACUCUAAUUUGUGAAAUUAAGCCUUUAUUUGGCUACCCUUCCUUCUAAAUUCAAUUCCUUCGCAAUUAGGUAUGUAUUCUUUUAAACUGUGUUCAGAUUUGCUAUGACAUGUAAUUGUGUUUAUUCUCUGGCUCAUUUGUUGUUCUUACUCGAAGCUAUGGUCGUUUUCGACCUCAUUUGCUAUUGCUAGUAGAACCUAUCUGUUUUGAUUUAGCUUUCGAUGCCUGUAAACUCAACUAGAAUAAGAUUACUAAUUGAGUUUGAUUUCCUGAACGUAAGUCACUUUAUUGUAUUAGCUUGAUUCCUAUUUUUUUAAUACUGUCACGUGCUGAAAUGAAACUUGUAUAAUCAGUUGAGUUGAAAAAUCAGUGGCUCGAUAGUUGUUGAUUAGCGGAGUAAUCAUGUAUUGAUAUCAGGAAGAGUUCAUGUUUAAGAGUUGGCAUCCAUAGGAAUCAGCAAAGGCUGAAUCGAGAUGCAUAACUUUUGGAAUUGUUUGUUACUGAAAAUUGAUGAUAUUAUAUUGUUUAGAUAGGGAUAUCUUUGUAACAGGGUGUAGGCAUAAAAGUAUAAGUCAGUUGAUUAUUAAUUUUGUAAGUUAAAUAUAAUGGAUUCUGAUUUUGUCUUUCAUGAUUAUGUAUGCAUUUUAUCCAUGAAUGACUUAAUUUCAUAUUUC
rnacentral:lncRNA from 1 species